AGUUUGAUCCUGGCUCAGGAUGAACGCUAGCUACAGGCUUAACACAUGCAAGUCGAGGGGAAACGACAUCGAAAGCUUGCUUUUGAUGGGCGUCGACCGGCGCACGGGUGAGUAACGCGUAUCCAACCUGCCCAUCACUUGGGGAUAACCUUGCGAAAGUAAGACUAAUACCCAAUGAUAUCUCUAGAAGACAUCUGAAAGAGAUUAAAGAUUUAUCGGUGAUGGAUGGGGAUGCGUCUGAUUAGCUUGUUGGCGGGGUAACGGCCCACCAAGGCGACGAUCAGUAGGGGUUCUGAGAGGAAGGUCCUCCACAUUGGAACUGAGACACGGUCCAAACUCCUACGGGAGGCAGCAGUGAGGAAUAUUGGUCAAUGGGCGAGAGCCUGAACCAGCCAAGUAGCGUGCAGGAUGACGGCCCUAUGGGUUGUAAACUGCUUUUAUAAGGGAAUAAAGUGAGUCUCGUGAGACUUUUUGCAUGUACCUUAUGAAUAAGGACCGGCUAAUUCCGUGCCAGCAGCCGCGGUAAUACGGAAGGUCCGGGCGUUAUCCGGAUUUAUUGGGUUUAAAGGGAGCGUAGGCCGGAGAUUAAGCGUGUUGUGAAAUGUAGACGCUCAACGUCUGCACUGCAGCGCGAACUGGUUUCCUUGAGUACGCACAAAGUGGGCGGAAUUCGUGGUGUAGCGGUGAAAUGCUUAGAUAUCACGAAGAACUCCGAUUGCGAAGGCAGCUCACUGGAGCGCAACUGACGCUGAAGCUCGAAAGUGCGGGUAUCGAACAGGAUUAGAUACCCUGGUAGUCCGCACGGUAAACGAUGGAUGCCCGCUGUUGGUCUGAAUAGGUCAGCGGCCAAGCGAAAGCAUUAAGCAUCCCACCUGGGGAGUACGCCGGCAACGGUGAAACUCAAAGGAAUUGACGG
rnacentral:rRNA from 1 species